CCGCGAAUAGACAAGGCCAAGUGGAAUCUCACUGAACUACACAUUAUAUCCUGGAAGGCCAGAACAUGGCAAUGCUGAAGCUGAAAUAACUUCCCUAACGAACUCCACGGUAGCCUUGGAUGGAGCUGGGGAAAUUAGCUAUCCACGAAAUCACCUACAUGGACGUCUAAUAUAUACAUGCGAACAUGAGACAUGUACAGUUGCACCUACUUCACAAACUUUUUAGGACUGUGUACGCAGAAACAUGAAUGUCACAGCACUCUG
rnacentral:misc_RNA from 1 species